UUCUAUGUUGGAAGUUCAUCUAAGUUUUAGGUUUCACGCGGAUCACUAAUGGUAGUGUCUUAAGCAUUGAUACUCACUAAAUGGAUGGCAAAGAUUUGUUUAAGGAAGCUGGAGAAACUCAAUAAACACAUUUAUAUUUCCCCGUGACCCCGAGUGACUUUUCACCAUGGCUGGAAGUUCCAACCGUGGUAAAAGUGUCUUAAAAAUAAAUAAAAACAAAAAUUGUAGGUGCUAGGAUUCGAA
rnacentral:lncRNA from 1 species